rnacentral:sRNA from 1 species
UGAGGAUGAUCUGGCGGCGACAUGUCACCCCACUGAUCGCCAGGUUUGAUUCAGCUGAUCUGUCUGGCUACGUGGGUGUCUCCUUCCAUUUCCUCA